GGGGAUAGGGGUGGGAAUGAGGAAUGACUGCUGAUGGGCACCAAGUCCCUUUUCUGGUGUUGGAAAUAUUCUAAAAUUAGAUUAUAAUGAUGGUGGUACAACUCUUAUAUCUAGUAAAAAUGAAUUGUAGUGUACAUUUACAUGUGAACUUCAGGAUAUAUAAAUUAUAAAGCUCUUAAAAAUAUACAUACCUAAAAAAACCCUCAACUAUAUUAAGUCCUUCUGCCUUGGUUUUAAAAGUUAAAACCAUACCAACAUUAUUAUUGGAAUGUGUAAAUGGUGAAAGUUUAAAAACAACUUCUUACCAUGCUUUGAAGAAUUUUCAAUGCUUCCUCUUUACCUCUGAGUUGUCUUUGAGAUGCCUCAAGUUCAGUUUUUAACAUUUCUACCUCCUGAGGACAGAAAGAAAAUUAGUCUUCCUAUCUGCAAGAUAUGCAACCCUAAAAUUAUCAGUUUGGCUAGUCUACAUUUACCCUUGGCUCAAACCACUUACAAAUGUGGCUGAAAAUUCUUCUAGACUUAGUGAGUGAACCAGACAUACUAAAAUUGAAAGCCUCGGCCGGGCAAGGUGGUGUGACCUGUAAUCCCUGCAUUUUGGGAGGCCAAGGUGGUUGGCUUUCAUGUUGUUUACAUACUG
rnacentral:lncRNA from 10 species